UAAUAAUCGUGAUCUCAUUGCUGAUAAUAUCAAUCAACAGGUACAGAAAAUGUCAGUAUAGAAAAUGUAGACACUGGAGAUGCGAAAAUGAAAAUGCGACUGCAUUUGAUGAUAAAGAUGAUCCAUGGUUAUUACAGUGAUAAUGUAAAAAACAUCACAAAAUGUAUAAAUUGAUGAUGAUGGUGAAGGUGACUUCGAAGUUGUUAAACAGUACGUGCAAUACAAACAAACAAACAAACGAACGAAAGGAUAUAUGCACCCAGGACAUUCAGCCUGCAGGGUACCGUUCUGAUUGCGUCAAUGGUAGGACACACUGCAUCAUAAAUUAAUAAAAGCAUGGCCAAAUAAAUAUCACGAUAAAGAGUUCCAUCACCUACCCUG